rnacentral:rRNA from 1 species
CAGCACGUAAUGGUGGGAACUCCAGGGNNNCUNCCGGUGAUAAACCGGAGGAAGGUGGGGACGACGUCAAGUCAUCAUGGCCCUUACGAGUAGGGCUACACACGUGCUACAAUGGCGCAUACAGAGGGCNNNCAACCAGCGAUGGUGAGCGAAUCCCAAAAAGUGCGUCGUAGUCCGGAUUGGAGUCUGCAACUCGACUCCAUGAAGUCGGAAUCGCUAGUAAUCGUGAAUCAGAAUGUCACGGUGAAUACGUUCCCGGGCCUUGUACACACCGCCCGUCACACCAUGGGAGUGGGCUGCAAAAGAAGUGGGUAGUUAACNUNNGAGGACG